UAUCGUUAAUCCCGUUGCUUCUCCGCGUGUGAAACUUAUUUUUACGGAAACUAGGGGCCUCAAUCCGUUCGGGAAGUUCCCGAUAGGGUAAGGCUGUAGUUGCUCUUGAAUCGCGGCAACCGUAUUUGCUCUGAUUACAAUUACACUCAACGGCUUCCGCUGUUCGCGAAGUUUUUGAUAGCGUUGGAGAAAAAAGAAUCACAAAGUAUAAUAAAAAUUGGCUGCUAAUUUCGAUUAAUUUUUCAUUGCCGCCUUCCUGACUGUUGUUAUCGCCGCUCCCCAAGGCAAAAGGGAAACCGAAGAGCCGCCAAUCGUCGUCAAUAGCCCGUCUGAUGUCCGGAAUCUUGAUGGAAGCAGCCAAUGGAGUGUGUGUGUGUGUCUACACAGAAUCUGAUGACACUAGCCGAGAGGAGACUCAGGUUCAGAAGAAGACAAAAUCAAUCUCCACCGACUCGUAUGGCAAGCAAACGGUUAAUGAAGAGAUUGGCAACACCAACAAGGGAUCGUCCUACUGGAUCUCUCCUGAUGGCUAGAAGAUCUCUUUGAACUGGGUUGCUGACGAAGGUGGAUUCCGGCCAAAAGGUGAUCACUUAACCGGUUGCACCAGUUCAUGUUUUCACGCUGCCCGUUGCCCCCGCACUUCCCUUGUUCCCUAUCAGCGCACUGGACUCGGCUAUUAAGUAAUGGAAUCAAUUUUUUAAGUUUGAUUACGCUUGAAAGUUUACCCAAGAUUAUCGUAUCUCCUUGUUAUUCAUCACAUAUGUCUGUGUAAUUCAUUGCUGAGAAACUGUAUUACAUGGACUUGUUGUGUCAGUGUUAUAAUACUGUGUGUUGACACAUGUUUUACUGCCUGUCCUACGUGAUUGGAGCAGCAAUGUGCUUAACUGACCUGAGGAAAUGAAACAACAAUCCCAAACUCUUGCGCCAUCUAGCAGUCAAGAUUCAAACCUCUAGGAAACCUCAUGGAGUUAAAUUUUCCGUUGCUGGUUGUUGAUUAUUUUCAGCAAAAAAAAAAAUAAAUGUAAAUAGCUCUAAACAAGGUGCUGAAAAAAGGGAGUAAUUUUGCGUUCCUUACCGUAUUAAAGAUUAAAACAAUAAUAAGUGUGUUAGAUCAGUCGGUUAGAGCGUAGUUCUUAUAACGCGGAGUCAGAAGUUCGAUGCUCUUAAAAUAUAUUAUAUUAAUAUUUUCAUAAAUUCGGAAUAAAAUCCAUAGAAUUGAACAACAAAUUCGUCUGCUCUGCCUGCAAUGGCGGACUAAACGUUACAACAGCCUUUGCUUUGUUAAUUUUGAGCAUUUUAUCGUUGUUUUUGUGAAUUCCAGCCUCAAAGAUUGGAAAUGACAAAGAAAUGAGUUCUGUUCUUCGCCUCAUUUUUGCCUCAUCGUCAUCAAGCUGAUCGUCUUCGCUUCGCCAUCCUCGCUUCACCGUCCUCGCUUCACCGUCUUCACCUCGCCGUCUUCACCCCGCCACACCGUCUUCGCUUUGCCUUCUUCAAA